rnacentral:rRNA from 1 species
UACGGAGGGUGCAAACGUUGCUCGGAAUUAUUGGGCGUAAAGCGCACGUAGGCGGCCGACUAAGUCGGGUGUGAAAGCCCUGGGCUCAACCCAGGAAGUGCACUCGAAACUGGUCGGCUUGAGUAUGGAAGAGGGUCGCGGAAUUCCCGGUGUAGAGGUGAAAUUCGUAGAUAUCGGGAGGAACACCAGUGGCGAAGGCGGCGACCUGGGCCAAUACUGACGCUGAGGUGCGAAAGCGUGGGGAGCAAACAGG